rnacentral:rRNA from 1 species
CUACGGGCUGCUGCAGUGGGGAAUAUUGCACAAUGGGCGCAAGCCUGAUGCAGCCAUGCCGCGUGUAUGAAGAAGGCCUUCGGGUUGUAAAGUACUUUCAGCGGGGAGGAAGGGAGUAACGUUAAUACCUUUGCUCAUUGACGUUACCCGCAGAAGAAGCACCGGCUAACUCCGUGCCAGCAGCCGCGGUAAUACGGAGGGUGCAAGCGUUAAUCGGAAUUACUGGGCGUAAAGCGCACGCAGGCGGUUUGUUAAGUCAGAUGUGAAAUCCCCGGGCUCAACCUGGGAACUGCAUCUGAUACUGGCAAGCUGGAGUCUCGUAGAGGGGGGUAGAAUUCCAGGUGUAGCGGUGAAAUGCGUAGAGAUCUGGAGGAAUACCGGUGGCGAAGGCGGCCCCCUGGACGAAGACUGACGCUCAGGUGCGAAAGCGUGGGGAGCAAACAGGAUUAGAUACCCGAGUAGUC